UACAGAGACUGCAAGCGUUAUUCGGAUUCACUGGGCGUAAAGGGUGCGCAGGCGGCCUUGUGUGUGAGGCGUGAAAGCCCGGGGCUUAACCCCGGAAUUGCACCUCAAACUACAUGGCUAGAGCAUUGGAGAGGGUAGCAGAAUUCAUGGUGUAGCAGUGAAAUGCGUAGAUAUCAUGAGGAAUACCAGAGGCGAAGGCGGCUACCUGGACAAUUGCUGACGCUCAGGCACGAAAGCGUGGGGAGCAAAAGGG
rnacentral:rRNA from 1 species